UUUACUCCCUUCCAUUUCCUAUCUACGCCACCGCCUCCUGGUCGGGUCCCGCUUGCCACCGAUCCACCUCCCCGUCGCCAGUAGCUGGGGAAGCAAUAAAUUAGAUGUUCGAAUCUUGCACGCGCAGCAGCUGCCCCUUCUUAUUGCAUUUGGCGUAGUAAAGAAAGAGGGGGGUAGUCGUCGAUCGACGUCGACGGUGGCAGAAAAGGAGAUGGAAGCCUCCAACAGAAUCCAAAAGCAACGUCGAUCCGAAGUUAUCCACGAAAGGUGGAAAAAUAGGCGUUGACGAAGAGCAACCGAGAGCCAAGUAAAAAAGAGGAAGAAGGAAAAGUAGCCAAUUCGAUCUCACGCACCCGUUUGACGCGGUUUCCCAAAUCCAAAGGUCUCUCCUUUUUCUACUCCGUCCCUCCUAUCCCCUUCUUCUUCUUCUUCUUCUUCUUCUUCUUCUUCUUGUAUCUAAUUCUCCGUUGAAGACCACGGUGAGAGGUUGGGCGGCCGGAGGAUGGAGACCGCGGAGGGGCAGAUCAGGGGAAUCCUCACCCAUGGCGGCCGCUACGUGCGGUACAACGUGUACGGCAACCUGUUCGAGGUCACCGCCAAGUACGUCCCGCCCCUGCGUCCCCUCGGCCGAGGGGCUUACGGCAUCGUCUGUGCUGCUGUGAACUCGCAAACUCGUGAAGAGGUAGCUAUUAAGAAGAUUGGUAAUGCAUUUGAUAAUCGUAUCGAUGGCAAGAGAACUUUGAGGGAAAUAAAGCUUCUGUCCCACAUGGACCAUGAAAACGUUAUUGGAAUCAAGGACAUCAUACGCCCACCACAGAGGGAAAACUUCAGUGAUGUUUACAUUGUAUAUGAGUUAAUGGAUACUGAUCUAAAUCAGAUAAUCCGCUCUAAUCAAAUAUUGACUGACGAUCACUGCCAGUACUUCUUAUAUCAGAUACUACGGGGUCUGAAAUAUGUACACUCAGCAAAUGUCUUGCACCGUGAUCUUAAACCAAGCAAUUUGUUCUUAAAUGCAAAUUGUGACCUUAAAAUAGGAGACUUUGGAUUAGCAAGAACAACUUCUGAAACAGAUCUGAUGACAGAGUAUGUUGUCACUCGCUGGUACCGAGCACCUGAGCUGCUCCUUAAUUGCUCAGAGUAUACUGCUGCAAUUGAUAUUUGGUCAGUAGGGUGCAUACUUGGAGAAAUUGUAACCAGGCAACCUUUGUUUCCUGGGAGAGACUAUGUUCAGCAGCUGAGGUUAAUCACUGAGCUGAUAGGUUCACCGGAUGACUCGAGCCUUGGGUUUCUUCGAAGUGAAAAUGCUCGAAAAUAUGUAAAACAGCUGCCAAGAUAUCCAAGACAGAAUUUUGCACUCAGGUUCCCCAAUAUGUCUCCUGGAGCUCGUGAUUUGUUGGACAGAAUGCUCGUGUUUGAUCCAAGCAAGCGAAUAACAGUUGAUGAGGCUCUGCAUCACCCUUACUUGGCACCUCUUCACGACAUCAAUGAUGAGCCUGUGUGUGCAUCCCCGUUUAGUUUUGAUUUUGAGCGACCAUCAUUCACCGAGGAAAAUAUCAAAGAGCUCAUCUGGAGGGAAUCUUUGAGAUUCUAUCCAGAUCCAUGAUAAUAUGGUACCUGUAUGUUUUACCACAGCAUGUCUGUUCUGUCUAGAGAAGUAUCACUGUCAUGGGGAUCAAUCAUUAUUGAUGCAUCUUUCUAAGUUCCACUGAGUCUAAAUUGGUUUUGCAACUUGGGGUUAGACAUCUGACUACUAGUGCUAUGGUAUUAGCGUCUGGAUGCUUAGGAAUCUAAUCGCUAGUUUCUUCCAUAUUCCUACAGUCCUGUUGGAAGAUGUCAUCUGAGGAAAGGUAUCAUUUGAGGUCGAAUACAUUUUGUGACUUGGAUUAGUUGAGUGCUAUAAUGGAUUGGAUUUGAUUGUUAUUGACCUAUUACUCGUCUGUAUACUUCAAGCAUGAGAUAGAUUCCAUGUUUACUGAUAACAACUAUGCUGUAAAUUAUGUAAAUUAACUUGAGUGUACCAUUAUUUGCAUGACA